GCUUGUCUCAAAGAUUAAGCCAUGCAUGUCUAAGUAUAAAUAAUUCUAUACUGUGAAACUGCGAAUGGCUCAUUAUAUCAGUUAUAGUUUAUUUGAUAGUCCCUUACUACUUGGAUAACCGUAGUAACUCUAGAGCUAAUACAUGCGCAAAUUCCCGACUGUCGCAAGGCGGAAAGGAUGUAUUUAUUAGAUCCAACCAGCCCGGUUCGCCGGAGUCCCUGGUGAGUCAUAAUAACUGAGCGAAUCGCAUGGCCUUGUGCCGGCGAUGGUUCAUUCAAGUUUCUGACCUAUCAUGCUGGAUGGUAGUGUAUUGGACUACCAAGGCAGUCACGGGUAACGGAGAAUUAGGGUUCGAUUCCGGAGAAGGAGCCUGAGAAACGGCUACUACAUCUAAGGAAGGCAGCAGG
rnacentral:rRNA from 1 species